GAUGAAGAACGCAGCGAAAUGCGAUAAGUAAUGUGAAUUGCAGAAUUCAGUGAAUCAUCGAAUCUUUGAACGCACAUUGCGCCCUCUGGUAUUCCGGGGGGCAUGCCUGUUCGAGCGUCAUUAUAACCACUCAAGCUCUCGCUUGGUAUUGGGGUUCGCGGUUCCGCGGCCCCUAAAAUCAGUGGCGGUGCCUGUCGGCUCUACGCGUAGUAAUACUCCUCGCGAUUGAGUCCGGUAGGUCUACUUGCCAGCAACCCCCAAUUUUUACAGGUUGACCUCGGAUCAGGUAGGGAUACCCGCUGAACUUAAGCAUAUCAAUAGCGGAGGA
rnacentral:misc_RNA from 1 species